GAUGAACGCUGGCGGCGUGCCUAACACAUGCAAGUCGAGCGAACGGACGAGAAGCUUGCUUCUCUGAUGUUAGCGGCGGACGGGUGAGUAACACGUGGAUAACCUACCUAUAAGACUGGGAUAAAUUCGGGAAACCGGAGAUAAUACCGGAUGAUAUUUUGAACCGCAUGGUGCAAAAGUAAAAGACGGUCUUGCCGUCACUUAUAGCUGGAUCCGCGCUGCAUUAGCUAGUUGGUAAGGUAACGGCUUACCAAGGCAACGAUGCAUAGCCGACCUGAGAGGAUGAUCGGCCACACUGGAACUGAGACACGGUCCAGACUCCUACGGGAGGCAGCAGUGGGGAAUCUUCCGCAAUGGGCGAAAGCCUGACGCAGCAACGCCGCGUGAGUGAAGAAGGUCUUCGGAUCGUAAAACUCUGUUAUUGGGGAAGAACAUAUGUGUAAGUAUCUGUGCACAUCUUGACGGUACCUAAACAGAAAGCCACGGCUAACUACGUG
rnacentral:rRNA from 1 species